GCUCCCAGGUGCAGCUGGGGCAGUCUGAGGCUGAGGUAAAGAAGCCUGGGGCCUCAGUGAAGGUCUCCUGCAAGGCUUCCGGAUACACCUUCACUUGCUGCUCCUUGCACUGGUUGCAACAGGCCCCUGGACAAGGGCUUGAAAGGAUGAGAUGGAUCACACUUUACAAUGGUAACACCAACUAUGCAAAGAAGUUCCAGGGCAGAGUCACCAUUACCAGGGACAUGUCCCUGAGGACAGCCUACAUAGAGCUGAGCAGCCUGAGAUCUGAGGACUCGGCUGUGUAUUACUGGGC
rnacentral:lncRNA from 1 species